rnacentral:rRNA from 1 species
UACGGAGGGUGCAAGCGUUAUCCGGAUUCACUGGGUUUAAAGGGUGCGUAGGAGGGCAGGUAAGUCAGUGGUGAAAUCUUUGGGCUUAACCCGAAAACUGCCAUUGAUACUAUCUGUCUUGAAUAUGGUGGAGGUCAGCGGAAUAUGUCAUGUAGCGGUGAAAUGCUUAGAUAUGACAUAGAACACCAAUUGCGAAGGCAGCUGGCUACAGGGAUAUUGACACUGAGGCACGAAAGCGUGGGGAUCAAACAGG